rnacentral:rRNA from 1 species
CCUACGGGAGGCAGCAGUGGGGAAUAUUGGACAAUGGGCGAAAGCCUGAUCCAGCCAUGCCGCGUGUGUGAAGAAGGCCUUCGGGUUGUAAAGCACUUUCAGUGGGGAAGAAAGCCUUGGGGCGAAUACCCUCGAGGAAGGACAUCACCCACAGAAGAAGCACCGGCUAACUCCGUGCCAGCAGCCGCGGUAAUACGGAGGGUGCGAGCGUUAAUCGGAAUUACUGGGCGUAAAGCGCGCGUAGGCGGUCUGAUAAGCCGGUUGUGAAAGCCCCGGGCUCAACCUGGGAACGGCAUCCGGAACUGUCAGGCUAGAGUGCAGGAGAGGAAGGUAGAAUUCCCGGUGUAGCGGUGAAAUGCGUAGAGAUCGGGAGGAAUACCAGUGGCGAAGGCGGCCUUCUGGACUGACACUGACGCUGAGGUGCGAAAGCGUGGGUAGCAAACAGGAUUAGAUACCCCAGUAGUC